rnacentral:rRNA from 1 species
UUACGUGGGACGUAAAGCGCAUGCAGGGUUGGUUUAGUUAAGUCGAGAUGUAGAAACGGCCCGGGGCUACCAACCGUACGGUAAUUGCUAUUUAGAAACGUGGACAAACUAGAGUACUGUAGAGGGGGUAGAAUUUCAGGUGUAGCGGUGAAAUGCGUAGAGAUCUGAAGGAAUACCGGUGGCGAAGGCGGCCCCCUGGACAGAUACUGACACUCAGAUGCGAAAGCGUGGGGAGCAAACAGGAUUAGAUACCCUGGUAG